CCUCUUCACAAAGUAGCACGGCUCCUCAAAUUAAGCCCUUUGCUUCAACAAUCAUGGAUGAUAAUUUUUUCUGCCUGUGAAAAUAUCACUCAACAUCUUCCUAUCUCCAACUGAUUCGAAGAAUUUCCAAAUCAAGAAUUCCAAGAUUUUGAUGAGGGUCUACAACAGUCAUAACAGUCUUCCAUGAUCUCCUCAGCAUCACAGGUUUUUAAUCCAGAAUAAUCAUUUUAAGAAUGCCCGCUUUUAUUGUGUUCCUAUACAGGUCAUUGAAAAAAGAACAAAAAGAAUCAUAAGUGGGGCUCCGGAGGGGUUAAAACGAGUGAAAGGAAUCUUACAUCAAAGAGUAGAAGAACAUAUUCGAUAGCUAUCUGAGGCAUAUUUGACAAUUUUUGGAGUUAACCGGUCAGAGUGGUCUAGAUAAUUGUAUGAAUUCAACUUAUGGAUAGAUCAUUGAGUUGUAGUCCAUUGGAAUACUGGUAAGCCUUGUGCUUCUUCUGCAAUGGAAAAGGAGAACACAAGCUAGAUGCAUGAGCUAACAAAGUACUGAAUUACAGUUAAUACUGAAUUUUGCAAAUGAAGGGAGCAUAACAAAGUUAAGGAAACAUAGCAGACAUCAUAAUACAAAUAAAAGCACAAUGGAGAAAUUG
rnacentral:lncRNA from 1 species